AUACUUACCUUGGGCACAGGGGUAAGCACCAUGAUCACGAAGGUGGUUCCCCCAAGGUGAGGCUCACCAUUGCACUCCGGUGGUGCUGACCCUUGCGAUUGACCCAAAUGUGGUCAACUCGGGUGCGCAAUUUUUGGUAGCGGGGGACUGCGUUCGCGCUAUCCCCCU